rnacentral:rRNA from 1 species
UACGGAGGAUCCAAGCGUUAUCCGGAUUUAUUGGGUUUAAAGGGUGUGUAGGCGGCUUAUUAAGUCAGGGGUGAAAGACGGUGGCUCAACCAUCGCAGUGCCUUUGAUACUGAUGAGCUUGAAUGAACUAGAGGUAGGCGGAAUGUGACAGAGCGGUGAAAUGCAUAGAUAUGUCACAGAACACCGAUUGCGAAGGCAGCUUACUAUGGUUUAUUGAUCGCUGAGGCACGAAAGCGUGGGGGAUCAAACAGG